GCCCUUCAUAAUGUUAUUGAAUACCACAUGAUAUACUCAAUUUCCUGAUGCUGGUUUAAAAUGUUUGGGAGCAGCUUAUUGAUGUCCUGUACUCGUGCUCCUGGAUAGCACAACAUUUUUGACAUUCCUCACUGUUGAACUGCCCAAUACAACGCCGGAGAAGGGAAUUGAGAAAUCCGCCCAUUCCCACCCCUCACACAGUUCAUUGAUCCUUUCAUGGGCCUGGCGAUAGGUCCAGAUCUCCCACAGAAGGCAGUGCCCUGUCAGAUCCAGAGAGAGGGAAAGGAGCCGAACUCAACGACGAAGCAGCUGCUGAAGUCAGCAUAGUUGGAGUCAGCACCGCCAUCGCAGACACAGGAUCGAGGAGGAGAAGCAGAUGGAAAAGACUUCCUUGGCAGCUAGUUCCAGGUAGCACAGGCCAGUCGUAUAGGGACAGGUGAUGGGGAAACAUCCAUUAGGCCCGAGCGGCGUCCUGCCAUAGGAGAUACUGGAAAAUCAACCAUAGUCAUGAAUUUUCACCUACAGAAGCAGCCAUGAUGAUAUCCACAGAGAGAGAGGCCGGCCCACAAACCAACAGCCGUUACAGAACUACCCACCACAACUGGAUCAAGCAGCGUCCCUGGGAGGAGAUGGAUUCCUGGUCUCUGGAGGAGAGGCUAGAGAGGAUAAACUGGACUUGGGGCCAAGUAUUGGACAGAUAUAGAAGCCUGCCGGGGAGGCACGAGAGGCUACAGAAACACAAAGAAAGUUUUGGGUGGGGGGCACAUGAAGCAGUCGGCGGAGCUGAGGAGUAAACCAGAGCCAAUCCGGGAGAGGAGGGAGUAUUUGGAGAAGGGAGAAAUGGCUUGUUGAGUUGGUGGAGGACGCACAAGUUUUUCCCAAAGGAACGUGUCGUCAGUUUGGUGCCACCUGAGUCAGCUCCCCGUACUCGUCCUAAGAAGUGUGUGGAAGUUCUGGAACAAGUGAUACCGGCUAUACACACCAGAUCUCCAGUACGUCUCAACUGCCCGGUACGUCCUGUCCCUGCUCCUCGCAUUCGCCCUGAAAUGCGUGUCACCAGUCUGGUGCCACCUGUCCCGGCUCCACGCACUAGGCCUUCAGUGCGCCUGCCCAGUCCAGAGCCUCCAGCGACGCUCCCCAGUCCGGCGCCUCCAGCGACGCUCCCCAGUCCGGCACCUCCAGCGACACUCCCCAGUCCGGUUCCUCCUCCGAUGAUCCACGGUCCGGUGGUACUAAAGCAGAGGGAUCAGCGGGUGGAGCGGGGGUUACGCCCCGAACCGGAGCCGCCUCCCCUGCUGGAGGAUCCGCUGGAGGAUAAGUUUAUGUGGACUGCACUAGAGCCGCCAUAGACAGGAGUUACCCACCCUACCCUCCCUUUUGUUUUUUUUGUGGCAUUCGGAGUCUGCACCUUUGGGGGGGGGGGGGGGUACUGUCACGUCCUGACCAUAGUAAGAUGUUAUUUUCUAUGGUAGAGUAGGUCAGGGCGUGACGGGGGGUGUUUGUGUUUUUCAAUGUUUUGUAUAUCUAUGUUUAGGUUCUAGUUUUCUAUGUUUUUUGGGGGGAUGAUCUCCAAUUAGAGGCAGCUGGUCCUCGUUGUCUCUAAUUGGAGAUCAUACUUAAAACCUCUUACAUCUAGACGUUCCGCUAGCGGAACACCUGCUCCAAUAUCCAAUGAUAGGCGUGGCGCGAAUUACAAAUUCCGCAAAAAUACAAAAACUUCAAUUUUUCAAACAUAUGACUAUUUCACAGCAUUUUAAAGACAAGACUCUCCUUUAACUAACCACACUGUCCGAUUUCAAAAAGGCUUUACAGCGAAAGCAAAACAUUAGAUUAUGUCAGCAGAGUACCAAGCCAGAAAUAAUCAGACACCCAUUUUUCAAGCUAGCAUAUAAUGUCACAAAAAACAAAACCACAGCUAAAUGCAGCACUAACCUUUGAUGAUCUUCAUCAGAUGACAACCCUAGGACAUUAUGUUAUACAAUGCAUGCAUGUUUUGUUCAAUCAAGUUCAUAUUUAUAUCAAAAACCAGCUUUUUACAUUAGCAUGUGACGUUCAGAACUAGCAUACCCCCCGCAAACAUCCGGUGAAUUUACUAAAUUACUCACGAUAAACGUUCACAAAAAACAUAACAAUUAUUUAAAGAAUUAUAGAUACAGAACUCCUCUAUGAACUCGAUAUGUCCGAUUUUAAAAUAGCUUUUCGGUGAAAGCACAUUUUGCAAUAUUCUCAGUAGAUAGCCCAGCCAUCACGGCUAGCCAUUUAGACACCGACCAAGUUUAGCCCUGAUCAAACUCCGAUUUACUAUUACAAAAGUUUCAUUACCUUUGUUGUCUUCAUCAGAAUGCACUCCCAGGACUGCUACUUCAUUAACAAAUGUUGGUUUGGUCCAAAAUAAUCCAUCGUUAUAUCCGAAUAGCGGCGUUUUGUUCGUGCGUUCCAGACACUAUCCGAAAUGGUAAAGAAGGGUCGUGCGCAUGGCGCAAUUCGUGACAAAAAAAAUCUAAAUAUUCCAUUACCGUACUUCGAAGCAUGUCAACCGCUGUUUAAAAUCAAAUUUUAUGCCAUUUUUCUCGUAGAAAAGCGAUAAUAUUCCGACCGGGAAUCUCCUUUUCGGCAAACAGAGGAAAAAAUCACAAAGACGGGGGCGGCCAGGUCACGCGCCUAAGCCCAGAGUCCCUUGAUCGGCCACUUGAGAAAGGCGAUAAUGUGUUUCAGCCUGGGGCUG
rnacentral:lncRNA from 1 species